rnacentral:lncRNA from 1 species
CUGAUACCUUCUCUUCCAAAGAAAGGAUCCAACACAGGGACUACCUGAAACCAGGAGAUAAUGAAAUUAUUUUGAAGUACAGAUUAGAAUUCAACGAGUCUUGAGAUUGAAGAUAUGAUAAAAAAAUAAGACAAAUCUCUUCAAGACAACACAAGGUAUGAUAAAUUUUGCUAAGAACAGCAUCAUGAAAAACCCCAGAAGAACAAAGUGGCCUGGGAGAAAACCAGAAGGUGUGGAGACUAUUAUUGCUCAUGCUUGUGUCUGUAGACUCCCAGGAGUCCAGCUGAUUCAGG